rnacentral:rRNA from 1 species
GAUAAACGCUGGCGGCGCACAUAAGACAUGCAAGUCGAACGGAAGUCGUUAUAAAAAGGAUUGAAGAUUUAUCUAAUUGAGAUUUUAUAACAAUGGCUUUAGUGGCGGACUGGUGAGUAACGCGUGAGUAACCUGCCUCACACUGGGGGAUAACAGUUAGAAAUGACUGCUAAUACCGCAUAAGACCACAGCACCGCAUGGUGCAGGGGCAAAAACUCCGGUGGUAUGAGAUGGACCCGCGUCUGAUUAGGUAGUUGGUGGGGUAACGGCCUACCAAGCCGACGAUCAGUAGCCGACCUGAGAGGGUGACCGGCCACAUUGGGACUGAGACACGGCCCAA